UUUGACACAGCGAGACCGCGGACGGCUCAUUAAAUCAGUCGUGGUCCAUAUGGGCCAGUGUUGAUCCUACUUGGACAACUGUGGUAAUUCCAGAGCUAAUACAUGCAACUCUUAUCCCGAAGGAACGCGGCAUUCACUUGUCGUUGUUCUCUGACGGAUGCUUUUAUUAGACCAAACUGCUGGGUGCGUGGUGUUUCGCCUCCGGGCGUUCCCACGUUUGACUCGUGUGAUGGUGACUCUGAAUAACCUUUCUUGACAAGCGCAAGUACCCCUCUUAUGAGCUGGGACGGCGCUACCACUUUCGAGUGUCUGACUUAUCAGCUAUCAACCGUUCGUUAUGUGCGACCGAUGGCGUUGACGGGUAACGGGGAAUCAGAGUUCGAUUCCGGAGAGGCAGCCUGAGAGACGGCUACCACGUCCAAGGACGGCAGCAGGCACGCAAAUUACCCAAUCCCAGCAUCUGGGGGAGGUAGUGACGAAAUCUAACGAUGCGGGCGCCCUUUCUGGGGCCCCGCAAUCGGAAUGGCCAUUUUCUAAACAACCUGUUGAGAACCUACUGAAGGGCAAGUCUGGUGCCAGCAGCCGCGGUAAUUCCAGCUUCAGCAGCAUCUAUUAAAGUUGCUGCGGUUAAAAGGCUCGCAGUUGAAUGUCAGUACCGAGCGCAGGUCAGGUGGACGCUGGGGCGUGGGAACACAAGGCGCGUCGCUUCUCUGGUUCUGGUGUGCGUGCUCUCGCUGUUGUGCGUGUGUGCUUUCGGGUGCGCGCGUGCUGGUGUCUGUUGCGUGUGCCACGUUUCUCGGGGUUGCGUUCGUGUCUCUCACAAGCCCCCGUCCGUGACAAGCCUCCUCGCUUGCGUACAUAUCUGGAAUCGGUAAAUACAAUGGAGUGUGCGCGUGUGCGGUUCGGCUCAUCUUUUCCUCUGCUUUGCGUGUUUUCCUCUCUCUCACGUGUGCCUUCUUGCGCGCGUGGGGGUUGAAUUGGGGAUCGCUCAGUACGUCUAGCUCUGGGUGUGUGACUCGCGCAAGCGUACGUUAAAAGCUCCUUCGGUUUUAAAGUCACCUUGAGUAAAUCAGAGUGCUCAAAGCAGUCGUAAGGGCCUUGUGCCCUGUGAACAGUCUUGACGGACUGACUUGGUUUUGCAUGGCAUGUCGGAAGACGACGUCGUGUGCUGGCUCAGAGAUAUAAUCAGUGGUGCAAGCCAGCCUCGACGUACUGAUUAACAGGUUCGGUCGAGGGCGUUGGUAUUGCGGGGCGAGAGGUGAAAUUCUAUGACCCCCGCAAGACCUCCUGAAGCGAAAGCGUCUGCCAAGGACGUUCUCACUAAUCAUGAACGAAAGUUAGAGGAUCGAAGGCGAUCAGAUACCGCCCUAGUUCUAACCGUAAACGAUGCCAACCAUCAAUCCGCGCGUAGCACCCUUCUUAACGGGCUCGGCGGGCAGCUCCCCACUCACGGGAAACCAGAGUCUCUGGGUUCCGGGGGGAGUCUGGUUGCAAAGCUGAAACUUAAAGGAAUUGACGGAAAGGCACCACCAGGCGUGGAGCCUGCGGCUUAAUUUGACUCAACAC
rnacentral:rRNA from 1 species